UUGAUUAUGGCUCAGGAUGAACGCUAGCUACAGGCUUAACACAUGCAAGUCGAGGGGAAACGACAUCGAAAGCUUGCUUUUGAUGGGCGUCGACCGGCGCACGGGUGAGUAACGCGUAUCCAACCCGCCCACCACUUGGGGAUAACCUUGCGAAAGUAAGACUAAUACCCAAUGACGUCUCUAGAAGACAUCUGAAAGAGAUUAAAGAUUUAUCGGUGAUGGAUGGGGAUGCGUCUGAUUAGCUUGUUGGCGGGGUAACGGCCCACCAAGGCAACGAUCAGUAGGGGUUCUGAGAGGAAGGUCCCCCACAUUGGAACUGAGACACGGUCCAAACUCCUACGGGAGGCAGCAGUGAGGAAUAUUGGUCAAUGGACGAGAGUCUGAACCAGCCAAGUAGCGUGCAGGAUGACGGCCCUAUGGGUUGUAAACUGCUUUUAUAAGGGAAUAAAGUGAGUCUCGUGAGACUCUUUGCAUGUACCUUAUGAAUAAGGACCGGCUAAUUCCGUGCCAGCAGCCGCGGUAAUACGGAAGGUCCGGGCGUUAUCCGGAUUUAUUGGGUUUAAAGGGAGCGUAGGCCGGAGAUUAAGCGUGUUGUGAAAUGUAGACGCUCAACGUCUGCACUGCAGCGCGAACUGGUUUCCUUGAGUACGCACAAAGUGGGCGGAAUUCGUGGUGUAGCGGUGAAAUGCUUAGAUAUCACGAAGAACUCCGAUUGCGAAGGCAGCUCGCUGGAGCGCAACUGACGCUGAAGCUCGAAAGUGCGGGUAUCGAACAGGAUUAGAUACCCUGGUAGUCCGCACGGUAAACGAUGGAUGCCCGCUGUUGGUCUGAAUAGGUCAGCGGCCAAGCGAAAGCAUUAAGCAUCCCACCUGGGGAGUACGCCGGCAACGGUGCAACUCAAAGGAAUUGACGGA
rnacentral:rRNA from 2 species